GUCCUGUAUACCUCAACUGGUAGCGCAUGGCACCAACGCUGCCAGGGUUAGGGGUUCGAAUCCCCACCGGGGCU